AAAGAAAAGAAAAGAAAAAGUGAAAAAAAGAAAAAGAAAAAGAAGAAGAGGACGGAAAUGAAGCCCUAUAUGCUGCUCCUCCGGUCUCAUGUAGUCAUGACCCUCUGCUUCUGUAAUCAAAUAUCAGAUUAGAAAGACACACAGAGUGUGUGUUUCUGUUUCUGUUUCAGUUUCAGUCUGUGCUUGCGUUGCGUUGGGUUUGGGGAGACAAAGAAAGAAAAUCGUAGAGAAAAAAUGUCGAAGAAGUUGGCGACGAGAAGGGAGCUGUUGGAGCGUUGGAGAGGCAUUGAGGAAGACGAAGACGACGAUCGUGAUCAUGAUCACGACCCCUCCCAAAUUCGCCGUCUUCACCAACUUAAGGAGCAAUGGUUUGCAGAUGCGUUUAAUUUCUUAAUUUGUUUGCCGAAAGAAACUCAUAUCUGGUGUGGCACUGGGGAUUUAAUGGGUCCACUUUUGGAGACAUUCUACAAUUACUUCAAAGACGAGCGUCCUAAUUCUCCUCUCAAGCUUUUAUGGAAGAGAAUCUCCGAAGAAAUGCGGCAGUGCAUCCAGUGCGUCUCUCAGCAACACCAAGCCCUAGAGAUGUACAAUGAGCAGUAUGAGUUGAGUUCAGUAGGUCCACUUCUUGAUGUGUUACGGAGUCUUAAUGAGGAAAGGGUGACUCAGCACUUGAGAGAGAUCACUGCAAGAAUAGCACGGGAAGAGUAUGAUCCAGCUCGUGAUAAUGCUGAAGUUAUUAGUGUCAUGUAUGAGGUUCUGAUGUUCCCUGCCCUGUUGGAUGAUCAGUCAUUGUUUACUGAAUUUGAAACGUUUAUUGAAGCUAUUGAUAAUAAGCAUGAACUGGCUCUGGAUGGACAGCAACAGUUUCCGGGUGUUUAUGCAUUAUUUUUUUUCAAGAGAAGAGUGCGCUCUGUUGGUCAUCGUCUUGCUGGAUCUAUGGGAAAACUGAGGAGAGUAACAGAAUUGGAACCUUUGCAGCCUUUGCUAAAGAAAUUUAUAUGCUUUUUGGAGAACGAAGUUUUGCCAUCGACUCUCGGGACUUCAAGGUCUAGAGUGAAGCUGGACCGUGUAUCCAUAUGGCUUGGAAUCAAAUCAUUGCUUGGGUUCUUAGAACCUCCAGCUUUCGAGGAAGGGAUAUUGGAGCGCUAUCCCAUUUUUCUUGACCUUGUGCUCAAUCAUAUCAGCAGUGAUUCAAUUGAAUUUUCUCAUGCGGUUACCUGCUUGAGACUGCUGUUUGAAAUGCUUGGUUGUAAGCUUUGGUUGAGGUCUACAUUGUCUGCAAGUGUGAUGUGCAACACUCUAUUGGGUCAGUGUUUUCAUACUCGAAACGAGAAAAGCCAUAAAGACAUUUUUGAUCUUUUUCAGCCAUUUCUGCAGUCUCUUGAAGCUUUGCAAGAUGGGGAACAUGAAAAGCAACGGAGGCAUUUUCUAUAUUUUCUCCUCCAUCAAGUGCCAGUCAGCGGUAACUUUAGUGUUCUAACAAGAAAAAAGGCUUGCCAGAUAGCACUUCUAAUUAUACACAGAGGUUAUAAGAUGAACCCGCCAUGCCCACCCUUUGAAUGUGCACAUAUGUGGGGCCCUUCUCUAGUGUCAUCCCUGAAGGAUUCUUCACUCCACAGUUCUCUAAGGCAACCUGCUUUUGAUCUUAUACAAACCAUUAUAGUGUCUGAUGCUGCUGCCCUUAUAACCUCAGUGUUGAAUAGCUGCACCCCUUGGAGUAUUGAUAGAAGCAUGUCUAAUGAUUUGAAUGAUGCCGAACCAUUUGUUCCAGAUGUUGAAGAGGAGGACAAUAGUUCUUGGAGUGAAUUUGGUGCACUGAGUAAAAUUAGUUCUCGGGAAUUUAGGGAGUGGAUGUGCAUACCCAUGUUAUGGAUUGAUGUUCUAGUUGAAAUUGAUCCUUCAGUCUUUCCAGUAUCAUUUUCCAAGGCUGUUUUCUGGGCCCGAUCUCGUUUUCCAAUGGUUGAACCCGAAAGUAGUGAAGAAAUAGCACUUCCAGUGAGAACUUGGCUUUCGUCCUCUGCUACAGUGAUCUCCAAUUCAUUUGGUUGGAAAAUUCCAACUGGUUCUGAUGAUGGUGGAGAGGGAAAGGAGUCAAAAAACUCUGUAAAAGUAUCAUCAAUGUGUCUUCCUUUAGUAAGAACAUUCAAUAGGUUAACUGCACACUUUGUUGUUCAAGUGGGGCAAGGAGAACUACGGAAGCAGUGGACUUGGGAACCAAGGAUGGGUGAAAGCUUGAUCCUUUCACUCAUUGAUCCUAAUGAUAAUGUGAGGCAGCUUGGGAAGUGUAUCUUGGAACAAGUUUCCAAUACACGGGGUCUUUCUUGCGGCUUGAAGUUUCUUUGUUCUAAUGGUUAUUCUUUGUCUGCCAUUUUUUUGGGCUUGAGACAUUCUUGUAAACUGGUUCUACUGGAUUGUGUUUUAGUAAAGUUUCAGAGUUUACAACAUUUUUUCUUCGUUCUAUGCAAAUUGCUCAAAGAAGGGGAUUUAUCGGCCCUAGAUAUGCCAGAAAAUUCAUCUGAUCGUUCAAAUAUCGCAAGGUUCUCUUCCCAAGGUGGAUUUUUGAGGCAGCCUGUUUUUGAUUCAUUGCCUGUGAGUGUCAAUGAGCAUUCUUCAAAUGUUGACUCAAAAUCACAGGAAAAGUUCAUUUACUUACUAUCAGAAAUUGCAUGGCCUCCUAUUAAGAGGUGCUUGUUAGAAGGGAAAGCAUUUAUUGAUCACAGUUUUUGUCAGAUGACUUGUGUCCGCUUACUGGAGAUCCUCCCUGUUAUUUUUGAAAUAAUUUGCCCAUCAUUUGGUAAGAAGCUUGGGGAUUCCAGAAUGUUGGUGGAAAGUUUAUAUGACUUCUCAUGGCUAAAUUACCUGAUGGAUUGGGGGAACUCAUCACUUAAGGUCAUAAUCGUGUAUUGGAAACGGACAGUUACUACUUUGCUGACUUUCCUCAGAGGUUCACAUAGUGACACUGCUACAAUGACAAUCAAGGCCAUUGAAAAUCUAAUAUCACGUGAUAACUUUGCUACGGAUGAAUUGACAGAACAAGUUUCGCGCCUUUCUGUUUCAUUAUCUAAGGAGGCAUCUUGUAACAUUGAAAACACCGCCUUUAGGUCAAGAUCUUUAUUUCCUGAAACCUUGUCUUUUGAGAAAAAGAGUUUAGUUUCAGAUGUGCAGCCUCUUUCUGUGGAUGAUAGUGAUGUGGAGAUCCUGGACUCACUAACGGGAUCUUACAAAAAGGAUAAAGAAAAUUUGGUUGUUCUUUCUGACAGUGAAACAGAGGAAUCAACAUCACCCAAUGAGGCCAUUCUAUCUGAUACUGAGACAGGUCACUGCAUUUUGGAUGGCAAGCCUCUGGUUCCUGGGAGCGCACCACAUUCUGACCCUAAAACGGAGAAGGUUGCUGGGACUGGCGCUUCUAUGGAUUUGUUGGAAUCUUUUCAGCAAAAAGAUGCUACUGAUUGUUUGGUUGCUUCUAAGAAUAAGGACAUUGACGAAUUAAAAGGCAAACCAACACCUGCUUCUCUCCUAAAAUCAAAAGGGGUAGACAAUAAGAAGAAAACAGAAUACCCCAAACACAAUGAAAAUAAUUCUGUUUUGUCCCAGAAUAGAAUUAAUUUGAAGAACUCAGAUGAAGCUGUCAGUUCCAAUAAAAUGGUUCUAAAUUGCAACAGAAUUAUUUCUAAGACAAGUGAUACUGUUUUGAAAGAGAUUGUACGUGAUAGUGAAGAUGAUCCAUUUGAGUUGGCACUAAAAUCUGCAAGAAUUCAGCAGUCAGUUUUGUCAAAGUCCACUUCUCUUCCUAAACGGCAAGUUAUUCAACUUAAAUCACCAUUUGAAAGUAGAUUUGGCCGUUUACAUAGACUAGAGGCCGGAGUGAAAAGGUUCAAGCCACCGAGACUUGAUGACUGGUAUAGACCCAUUUUGGAACUUGAUUACUUUGCAACUGUUGGAUUAGCAUCAGCAAGUGAAGAUGGGACUCGAACUGUUAGCAAAUUAAAGGAGGUUCCUGUGUGUUUUCAAUCACCUGAACAGUAUAUGGAGAUUUUUCGGCCAUUGGUUUUGGAGGAGUUUAAAGCACAAUUAAAUAGUUCCUUUCUGGAAAUGUCUUCGUGGGAAGAGAUGUAUGUUGGCAGUCUAUCAGUGAUGUCGGUUGAGAGAGUUGAUGAUUUUCAUCUUGUGCGAUUUAUUUAUGAUGACAAUGAUUCUGCAGCUUCUAGAACCUUUUCAGAAAAUGACCUUGUUUUGUUAACGAAGGAGCCUUUGCAAAAAUCUUCCCAUGAUAUUCAUAUGAUUGGAAAGGUGGAAAGGCGUGAAAGAGACAAUAAGAGAAGGUUAACCAUAUUAGUUAUCAGGUUCUAUCUUCAAAAUGGUUCUUCACGUUCAAAUAAAGCUAGAAAGAACCUCAUUGAUCGUAGUAAAUGGCAUGCAUGUCGCGUAAUGAGCAUUACACCUCAACUUAGAGAGUUUCAGGCACUAUCAUCAAUUAAUGGCAUUCCUAUAUUUCCAGUGAUUUUAAAUCCUGUCAAUGAUUCUCUUGGUAAUCAUGUAUCUAAGGAAGUGAAUCUGGGUAAGCUGGCCCAACCCUUGCAGCAAAUACUGAAAUCAUCCUUCAAUGACAGUCAACUUCAAGCUAUCAGUGUUGCUGUUGGAUCACCUAAGUUGAAGAAAGAUUUUGAAUUAUCUCUUAUUCAGGGUCCUCCAGGUACUGGCAAGACGCGUACUAUUUUGGCCAUUGUCAGUGGUUUGCUUGCUUCACCUUUACAGAGGACAGGUAAUGCAAAAAAUACUCUUGGUGGUAGUUUGAAAACACAUAGUAAGCCAUUCUGGUCAAGACCACAGAUUAGUGAGACUGCUGCAAUAGCAAGGGCAUGGCAAGAUGCAGCCUUGGCCAGACAACUGCAUGAGGAUGUUCAAAGGAAUUCUAACUCCAUGGAAAGUUCUGCAAGAGGAAGGGUACUUAUCUGUGCUCAGUCAAAUGCCGCGGUUGAUGAGCUGGUAUCGAGAAUUUCUAGUCAAGGCCUUUAUGGCAGCGAUGGAAAGAUGUACAAGCCAUAUCUUGUAAGGGUAGGGAAUGUGAAAACAGUCCAUCCAAAUUCACUACCAUUCUUUAUUGAUACACUUGUUGACCAACGUUUGGUGGAAGAGAGGAUGAAUGGUUGCAAUGAAAAGAAUGAUUUAAGUGUGGAAUCUUCGAUGGCACUACGUUCUAAUCUUGAGAAAUUAGUGGAUCGUAUCAGGUUCUAUGAAGCUAAGCGUGCUAAUUUAAGGGAUGGAAAUGUUGAUCUUAAGAAUUCUUUGGAAGAUGGUACUCAUAAGGGUGAUGAUGGGAAAGAAAUGUCUGAUGCAGAAAUAGAGUCACAGCUAAGAAAACUUUAUGAACAAAAGAAGCAAAUUUAUAAAGAUCUUAGCAAUGUUCAGUCACAGGAGAAGAAAGCUAAUGAAGAAACCAGAGCUCUUAGACAUAAGCUUCGGAAGUCUAUAUUACGGGAAGCUGAAAUUGUGGUCACUACAUUAAGUGGUUGUGGUGGAGACCUCUAUGGAGUGUGUUCUGAAUCUAUGUCAAAUAUUAAAUUUGGCAGUCCAUCUGAGCGUACACUUUUUGAUGCCAUCGUGAUUGAUGAAGCUGCACAAGCUUUGGAACCUGCUACUCUGAUUCCUCUUCAGCUUUUAAAGUCAAGUGGGACCAAAUGUAUUAUGGUUGGCGACCCAAAGCAACUUCCUGCAACAGUUCUUUCUAGUGUUGCAAGUAAAUUCCUGUAUGAAUGCAGCAUGUUUGAGCGAUUACAAAGGGCUGGUCAUCCUGUCAUUAUGCUGACCGAACAGUAUAGGAUGCACCCAGAAAUAUGUAGGUUUCCUUCUCUGCAUUUUUAUGACAGAAAGUUGCUAAAUGGUGAUAAAAUGUCUAGCAAGUCAGCUCCAUUUCAUGAAAUUGAGGGCCUUGGACCAUAUGUCUUCUAUGACAUUGUUGAUGGACAAGAGCAUCGCGGUAAGAAUUCUGGUGCAUUGUCCCUUUACAAUGAGCAUGAGGCUGAUGCUGCAGUUGAAGUACUUAGGUUUUUCAAGAAAAGGUACCCAUCUGAAUUUGUAGGUGGAAGAAUUGGUAUCAUAACUCCAUACAAGUCUCAACUAUCACUUUUACGAUCUCGUUUUUCAAGUGCAUUUGGAUCUUCUGUUAUAGAUGACAUGGAAUUUAAUACUGUCGAUGGUUUUCAAGGUCGGGAGGUUGAUAUACUCAUACUUUCCACUGUUAGAGCAGGGGAUCCUAGCACUUCUGCACUUGGGAUCAACUCAAGCAGUAUUGGGUUUGUUGCUGAUGUACGAAGGAUGAAUGUUGCUUUGACAAGAGCCAAACUCUCGCUCUGGAUCUUGGGUAAUGCCAGAACUUUGCAGACAAACCAUAACUGGGCUGCUCUUAUAAAGAAUGCUAAAGAGAGAAAUUUGGUUAUUUCAGUUAAAACACCUUACAAGUCCAUGUUUAAAACAGCCUUUUGUAAAAAUGCUGCUCCAAGAAUUCCGGACAAGCAUUCAAGACAGCAUAAGCAUGUUGAAAAGGCUAAAGAUGUUAGCCAGCAUGCAAAACAAAAUGAGAGCAUUGCAAAGCAAACCAUUGAAAGGAAAAUGAAAUAUGUAGGCUGUGCUGAUCACAGUCAAAAAAGGGGUAUAGGAGAUGAAAAAGAUUUUCUAGCUAUUAGAGAAAAUAUCCCAAGUACUGGAAGAAGUGCCAGAGAUGAAUGCAAAUUCCCUGUGAAGACUGAUUCUUCUUCUUCAGUUACAAAUGGUAGCAACAGAACCACUGAGGAUGUCAAGUGUGCAAUCUCAGGGAAACAAGUUAGAGAUGGUGGAAGAAAGGGCAAAGAGAGUAGUGAAAAGAAAGUCAGUUUGGGGAAUACACAUAUAAGCAAAAGAAAAGAUAAAUUUGAAAAUUAUAGGAGUAAUUUGGAUCCCUCUGAAUGCGAAUCGGGUGAUAGCCAGAACCUUUUGAAAUCACAAGCGUCAAAAAGACUGAAGAAAUCUUCUGAUGGUGAUAGAAGCCAGAAAAAUCAGGAAGUUGCAAUUCCCUUACCUGAAAGCAGCCUUAAGGAGAGGUAUGCUAAUGAUGGAGAUAAAGUGCCCAGUCAAACUGGCACUGCUGAGGAUUUGAUUGCAAAAAGGAAAAAACAACGUGAUGCUGUUGAUGCUAUUCUUUACUCUUCUCUGAUAUCUUCAAAGAAGUCUGAAACAUCAAUGAAACCUUUGCCUGCCAAAAGACCUUUCUCAUCAUCAUCAAAUGUAAGUGGUGGCAUAAAGCCAUCCAAAACAAUAAAAGGUAUGGAAGUUCCAUCAGCAUCUUCAACUAGUGCAUCACGAGAUCAGAUCCAUCAACAUCGCAGUAAGAGGGACAAAUCUGUGGGCUCCCACGACGGGGGUGAAGCCUGAUUCUGCUUGAAGUCAUUUAAAUAUCUGGUUCAAAAAGUGAAGCUUUGCUAUCAUUGCUGACUUUCCAGGAACUGGAAAGGAGAGUUUAGGCUGGCUUGGUGCACCAACAGUAAGGGAUAAAGCAGCAUGCUUCUGCUAGUGAUGGCUGGGCAGCAGGUUACUUUUCGACAUUUUGCAUGCAAAGAUUCUGAAGAAACAUUUUUGGAACUCUUGGCCCUCAAGUUGCAAUUGGGUCCUGAAGUGCCUUGCAUUAUCCAGAUAAUUGACCUCUAAACCUGCUGCCAAUUUCAGGAAUCCUUUUUGACCAUUUCCUGGAGGUCCAUAUAAAAUUCCUUGACAUAGUCUGUCAAUGGGUGGAGCCCAUAAUCGUUACCAUAUUGUCCAUUGCGGAUGCCUGCUUUCACUGUAGUGUAUUAACGUCAUUCAGAUUCAUGCUUGAAGUGAAGAUAGUCACAUAGUGGAUUCUAUGAUCUCCAUUACUGUUAGCAUCAUCGCUCCUGAGCCUUUUGUUGGCCAUUAAACUGUGCAAAGACAACACAAAGUUUGUAUAGUCAAUAGAGAGUAGAGGAAGAAAAUUGCCGGUUAAUUCCAAUGCUUAGAAGCGUUGUGCGUUACAGGACCUAGGAUAUGCUCAAGCAUAUAGCAGGAAGAAGUAAAAGGUUCACUGGAAAUAUUUUGAAUGACAUUCGAGUGCAAAGAAAAUUCAUUUUAUUAGUAACAACUUACGGUAAUUGUUAUGAGAGGUAGCUAUACUUGUAUUCUGACUCGUUCUCCUCUCUCUCUCUCUCUGUGAUGCUUUCACAGAAAAAAAAAAAAAAAAAAAUAGAGAAGAUAUGUAUGAAAUACAACUUAAUAUUUUUAUUUUAUUUUUGAAGAAUUUAUAUAUUUGACUAUCAGGACUUGAUGUCA